rnacentral:rRNA from 1 species
GGCCAGACUCCUACGGGAGGCAGCAGUGGGGAAUAUUGCACAAUGGGGGAAACCCUGAUGCAGCGACGCCGCGUGAGUGAAGAAGUAUUUCGGUAUGUAAAGCUCUAUCAGCAGGGAAGAAGAUGACGGUACCUGACCAAGAAGCACCGGCUAAAUACGUGCCAGCAGCCGCGGUAAUACGUAUGGUGCAAGCGUUAUCCGGAUUUACUGGGUGUAAAGGGAGCGCAGGCGGCACGGCAAGUCAGAUGUGAAAGCCCGGGGCUCAACCCCGGGACUGCAUUUGAAACUGCCGCGCUAGAGUGUCGGAGAGGCAAGUGGAAUUCCUAGUGUAGCGGUGAAAUGCGUAGAUAUUAGGAGGAACACCAGUGGCGAAGGCGGCUUGCUGGACGAUGACUGACGCUGAGGCUCGAAAGCGUGGGGAGCAAACAGGAUUAGAUACCCCCGUA